rnacentral:rRNA from 1 species
GGGGAAUAUUGCACAAUGGGGGAAACCCUGAUGCAGCGACGCCGCGUGAGCGAAGAAGUAUCCCGGUAUGUAAAGCUCUAUCAGCAGGGAAGAAAAAUGACGGUACCUGACUAAGAAGCNCCGGCUAACUACGUGCCAGCAGCCGCGGUAAUACGUAGGGGGCAAGCGUUAUCCGGAUUUACUGGGUGUAAAGGGAGCGCAGGCGGCGCAACAAGUCUGAUGUGAAAGGCAUGGGCUCAACCCGUGGACUGCAUUGGAAACUGGUAUGCUUGAGUGCCGGAGGGGUAAGCGGAAUUCCUAGUGUAGCGGUGAAAUGCGUAGAUAUUAGGAGGAACACCAGUGGCGAAGGCGGCUUACUGGACGGUAACUGACGUUGAGGCUCGAAAGCGUGGGGAGCAAACAGG